GGGGGCCCGCAAGCGGUGGAGCAUGUGGUUUAAUUCGAUGCAACGCGAAGAACCUUACCUGCUCUUGACAUCCACGGAAGACUGCAGAGAUGCGGUUGUGCCUUCGGGAACCGUGAGACAGGUGCUGCAUGGCUGUCGUCAGCUCGUGUUGUGAAAUGUUGGGUUAAGUCCCGCAGCGAGCGCAACCCUUAUCCUUUGUUGCCAGCGAUUCGGUCGGGAACUCAAAGGAGACUGCCGGUGAUAAACCGGAGGAAGGUGGGGAUGACGUCAAGUCAUCAUGGCCCUUACGAGCAGGGCUACACACGUGCUACAAUGGCGCAUACAAAGAGAAGCGACCUCGCGAGAGCAAGCGGACCUCAUAAAGUGCGUCGUAGUCCGGAUCGGAGUCUGCAACUCGACUCCGUGAAGUCGGAAUCGCUAGUAAUCGUGGAUCAGAAUGCCACGGUGAAUACGUUCCCGGGGCCUUGUACACACC
rnacentral:rRNA from 1 species